GACGAACGCUGGCGGCGUGCUUAACACAUGCAAGUCGAACGGAAAGGCCCUGCUUUUGUGGGGUGCUCGAGUGGCGAACGGGUGAGUAACACGUGAGUAACCUGCCCUUGACUUUGGGAUAACUUCAGGAAACUGGGGCUAAUACCGGAUAGGAGCUCCUGCUGCAUGGUGGGGGUUGGAAAGUUUCGGCGGUUGGGGAUGGACUCGCGGCUUAUCAGCUUGUUGGUGGGGUAGUGGCUUACCAAGGCUUUGACGGGUAGCCGGCCUGAGAGGGUGACCGGCCACAUUGGGACUGAGAUACGGCCCAGACUCCUACGGGAGGCAGCAGUGGGGAAUAUUGCACAAUGGGCGGAAGCCUGAUGCAGCAACGCCGCGUGCGGGAUGACGGCCUUCGGGUUGUAAACCGCUUCCGCCUGUGACGAAGCGUGAGUGACGGUAAUGGGUAAAGAAGCACCGGCUAACUAUGUG
rnacentral:rRNA from 1 species